AACAAACGCUGGCGGCAGGCCUAACACAUGCAAGUCGAGCGCCCUUUCGGGGGAGCGGCGGACGGGUGAGUAACGCGUGGGAAUAUGCCCUUCUCUACGGAAUAGCCUCGGGAAACUGAGAGUAAUACCGUAUACGCCCUAUGGGGGAAAGAUUUAUCGGGGAAGGAUUAGCCCGCGUUGGAUUAGGUAGUUGGUGGGGUAAUGGCCUACCAAGCCGACGAUCCAUAGCUGGUUUGAGAGGAUGAUCAGCCACACUGGGACUGAGACACGGCCCAGACUCCUACGGGAGGCAGCAGUGGGGAAUCUUAGACAAUGGGGGCAACCCUGAUCUAGCCAUGCCGCGUGAGUGAUGAAGGCCUUAGGGUUGUAAAGUUCUUUCAGCUGGGAAGAUAAUGACGGUACCAGCAGAAGAAGCCCCGGCUAACUCCGUG
rnacentral:rRNA from 1 species